rnacentral:rRNA from 1 species
GGCUCAACCGGGGGAUGGGUUCAAUCGAACUUGGGGAACUUGAGUUGCAGAAGGACGAGGAGUGGAAAUUCCACGUGUAGCGGGUGAAAUGCGUAGAGAUGUGGAGGGAACACCAGUGGCGAAGGCGACUCUCUGGUCUGUAACUGACGCUGAGGAGCGAAAGCGUGGGGAGCGAACAGGAUUAGAUACCCUGGUAGUCCACGCCGUAAACGAUGAGUGCUAAGUGUUAGGGGGUUUCCGCCCCUUAGUGCUGCAGCUAACGCAUUAAGCACUCCGCCUGGGGAGUACGGUCGCAAGACU